CUUCCCGUUCCUCCUCCUCCUCCUCCUCCUUCUCCCGGAACCCGCCUCGCUCCUCCGGCCCGCGCCGCCCCCGCAGGAGGCAGAAGAUGAAAGCCGGCUGCAGCAUCGUGGACAAGCCGAGGGAGGAGGGGGCUACCAUUUCCCAGAGUGGGCUUACAAGACAGAGUCGAGCCCGGGCUCCAGGCAGAUCCAGCUGUGGAAUUUCAUCCUGGAGCU